UACGGAGGGUGCAAGCGUUGUUCGGAAUUAUUGGGCGUAAAGGGCAGGUAGGUGGUCUAAGUAAGUCUGCUGUGAAAUCCCUGAGCUUAACUCAGGAAGUGCGGCAGAUACUGCAAGACUAGAGUAUCGGAGGGGUGCGUGGAAUUUCCGGUGUAGCGGUGAAAUGCGUAGAUAUCGGAAGGAACAUCAGUGGCGAAAGCGACUUCCUGGACCAGUACCGACGUUCAGGCACGAAAGCGUGGGGAGCAAACAGG
rnacentral:rRNA from 1 species